rnacentral:rRNA from 1 species
AUGGCGGCGACGGCAGAUCCGCGGGCGAAGCCGCCGGCCGCGCCCUCGACGCACCACCUCGAGCCGUGGGCGCGCCCGCAGCAGCCGCCGCCUCUACCCCACCGCGUUGAGUCGCCCUCGGGGGGUGCGUCGGGCGCCCGCGAUCGCCGCCGCUCGUCGUCUCACUCCCACCGCGGGGCCGACGCCGGAGACGACGGCGGGAUCGAGGGGCUCCGCGUGAAGCUCAUGGGCCACCUGCGCGACGCGGCCGACCGGCUUCGCGUGCCCCAGAAAAGUCCUCCCCUGCCCCCGCCGCCCCCACCGACCAAGCCGAAGGAGCCCGAGCCAGACCGCAUGGCGCGGCCUCCACCCCCCACGGAGCCGCCACAGGAGAACGUCGCGGACAAGCCGUGGAAGCUGCGGGAACGCACGCGGCGGCGGCCGGCCGCGCUGUCGUCGUCAUGGCCGGCGGCGCCGACUCCGCCGUCGCGACGGCGCAAGCGGGCCCCUUUCUCGGUGGCCCUGGAGCCGGAGGAGAUCGAGGAGGACAUCUACGCGCUGACGGGCGGCCGGCCGCGGCGGCGGCCGAGGAAGCGGCCGCGCGCCGUACAGCGGCAGCUCGAUUCGCUCUUCCCCGGGCUCUGGCUGGCCGAGGUCACCGCCGACGACUACAAGGUGCCCGACGACGAGUAG